rnacentral:rRNA from 1 species
GUGUCAGCAGCCGCGGUAAUACGUAGGGAGCAAGCGUUGUCCGGAAUCAUUGGGCGUAAAGCGCGCGUAGGCGGCCCGGUAAGUCCGCUGUGAAAGUCCAGGGCUCAACCCUGGGAUGCCGGUGGAUACUGUCGGGCUAGAGUCCGGAAGAGGCGAGUGGAAUUCCUGGUGUAGCGGUGGAAUGCGCAGAUAUCAGGAGGAACACCUAUAGCGAAGGCAGCUCGCUGGGACGGAACUGACGCUAAGGCGCGAAAGCGUGGGGAGCGAACAGGAUUAGAAACCCGCGUAGUCC